UCACUGGUGGUCCAGUGGUUAGGACUCUGUGCUUCCACUUCAGGGGACCCAGGUUUGAUCCCUGGUCAGGAAA
rnacentral:tRNA from 1 species